rnacentral:lncRNA from 1 species
CAGUCAACGGGCAAUUCAGCUUCUUGUAUCGGCAGGAAACCCGUUUACACCCAUGGUAUGCACAGCAAAUCAGAAACCCAGCACACGGAACAUUCGGUGUGUCAUGCUAGUUGUAAAUGCGGUUUUCAUCCAAUACGGUAUAUAGGUGUUGCCUACGAAUACUGAUCCCACCAUGGCAUGUCCGCGAUUUCCACUUGGUUUGAGCGGCAGAUCAAUUCAAAGUACGGCCACAGACAAUUUGCUCAAUGGUGUCACGAAAACACGUCUUCCUUCAGACAUAGUCUGGCUGUUCACAGGCAUUGCCCGACCACGUUUAAGUAGCCCCAUGAAGUUGACGGAAUCAAUCUUGAGAGAUUUCGGCAACAAGAAGUCGUGUGUGCCCUUUGUUUCUGGUAUCGUCUCUGGCUCGGUGGGCGCGAUGGUCUCUAUGUGUAGCGAAUGGUGAGUCGACACCACGACUAGAACGCACGUCACACAGCCGACGAGUGGGAUCAACCGACACCCUCUCCGAGGGCCUUGACUGUACGACCACUUCUACUUGCACAAUGCUGUGGCUCCGCAUAUGUUCACAAACUGCAAUCAUGAUAGGCAUGUGGUCACAUUCAUAUCCACACAUACUUCCCACGGUGCCGCAAUGGCCAUUCUCAAGAUGCCUCUGUCUCUUGAGGUAUAGAAGUGUGUCCCUUCGAGCCCGGUGUUUUGGCAUUGCAGUACUAGUGACGUGGUUGGUCAGGAACUGAUAUGUCGCUGAAUUCACCGACACCAGUUUUUUACGCGAUUCAAUUACUUUCCGACGGACGUCCCAUCAUGGGGACCACCCUGACUGACGCUGUCGGUUGUUUUCACCUGGAGUGAAAGAAAGUGUAUCCCUGAGUGAGUCGUCGAGAGGUCUUUGAAACUCCACAGUGGCGAUCUUGACCUCCGCAUCGGCAAGCACGUUUUCAUGAAGAAAUAUGGGGGGCUCCAGACUCGAGAACCAAUUGGAAUGCAUUCUUUGAGAGCAAAUGGUAAGGAC